ACGCCGGGUCGUGACUGGCGCGCUGGGAUGGGACGGACCAUCGGGGAGCGGCCCGGGAAAGAUGAGUGCCGUGCGCCUGGGCCGUACCG
rfam:Streptomyces ipomoeae 91-03 gcontig_1108499708069, whole genome shotgun sequence.